rnacentral:rRNA from 1 species
UUGGAAGUAAAAAGUCGUAACAAGGUCUCCGUUGGUGAACCAGCGGAGGGAUCAUUACCGAGUUUACAACUCCCAAACCCAAUGUGAACGUUACCAAACUGUUGCCUCGGCGGGAUCUCUGCCCCGGGUGCGUCGCAGCCCCGGACCAAGGCGCCCGCCGGAGGACCAACCAAAACUCUUAUUGUAUACCCCCUCGCGGGUUUUUUUAUAAUCUGAGCCUUCUCGGCGCCUCUCGUAGGCGUUUCGAAAAUGAAUCAAAACUUUCAACAACGGAUCUCUUGGUUCUGGCAUCGAUGAAGAACGCAGCGAAAUGCGAUAAGUAAUGUGAAUUGCAGAAUUCAGUGAAUCAUCGAAUCUUUGAACGCACAUUGCGCCCGCCAGUAUUCUGGCGGGCAUGCCUGUCCGAGCGUCAUUUCAACCCUCGAACCCCUCCGGGGGGUCGGCGUUGGGGAUCGGCCCUGCCUUGGCGGUGGCCGUCUCCGAAAUACAGUGGCGGUCUCGCCGCAGCCUCUCCUGCGCAGUAGUUUGCACACUCGCAUCGGGAGCGCGGCGCGUCCACAGCCGUUAAACACCCAACUUCUGAAAUGUUGACCUCGGAUCAGGUAGGAAUACCCGCUGAACUUAAGCAUAUCAAUAAAGCGG